rnacentral:lncRNA from 1 species
GCCCCUGGCGUGCAUCAAAGCCCCCUUUGUGCCACCCUGCGCAGCCCCAAAUAGCAGCGCGCUCACCUGCGGGGGGGGGGGCUGCAUAUUAAUAACCCCCCUUCCUCCUCCUCCUCCUCCUCCUCCUCUUCUUCCUCCUCCUCCUCCUCCUCCUCAUCCCUCCGAGCCCUCCGCCAGCCGCACUCAGCUCCCCGCAGCCCCCACCGAAGCCCCCACCGCUCGGUGCCGGCCGCCCCCCCGCCAUGGCCGGCCGCAGCUUUGGGCUCUCGCUGCUCCUCCACGCCUGCCUCUGCCUGGCCCAGCUCCGAGGGCCACCAGGAGAGCCCGGCCCGCGUGGCCCCCCCGGUCCACCAGGAGUGCCGGGAGCGGAUGGCAUUGACGGUGACAAAGGCUCGCCUGGAGCCCCCGGCUCUCCGGGUGCCAAGGGGGAGCCCGGAGCCCCCGGUCCCGAUGGGCCCCCAGGGAAGCCGGGCAUCGACGGUCUCACGGGAGCAAAAGGGGAGCCUGGACCCAUGGGGGGGCCAGGACUGAAGGGCCAGCCCGGACUCCCAGGGCCACCGGGGCUCCC